CCUACGGAGUGCAGCAGUGGGGAAUAUUGGACAAUGGGGGGAACCCUGAUCCAGCGACGCCGCGUGAGUGAAGAAGUAUUUCGGUAUGUAAAGCUCUUUCAGCAGGGAAGAAAAUGCCGGUACCUGACUAAGAAGCCACGGCUAACUACGUGACAGCAGACGCGGGAAUACGUAGGGGGCAAGCGUUAUCCGGAUUUACUGGGUGUAAAGGGAGCGUAGACGGUCAUGCAAGCCAGGGGGGAAAGCCCGGGGCCCAACCCCGGGACUGCCCUUGGAACUGCAUGGCUGGAGUGCGGGAGGGGCAGGCGGAAUUCCUGGUGUAGCAGUGAAAUGCGUAGAUAUCAGGAGGAACACCGGCGGCGAAGGCGGCCUGCUGGACCGCGACUGACGUUGAGGCUCGAAAGCGUGGGGAGCGAACAGGAUUAGAUACCCCUGUAGUC
rnacentral:rRNA from 1 species